rnacentral:rRNA from 1 species
AUGCAAGUCGAGCGGACAGAUGGGAGCUUGCUCCCUGAUGUUAGCGGCGGACGGGUGAGUAACACGUGGGUAACCUGCCUGUAAGACUGGGAUAACUCCGGGAAACCGGGGCUAAUACCGGAUGCUUGUUUGAACCGCAUGGUUCAAACAUAAAAGGUGGCUUCGGCUACCACUUACAGAUGGACCCGCGGCGCAUUAGCUAGUUGGUGAGGUAAUGGCUCACCAAGGCAACGAUGCGUAGCCGACCUGAGAGGGUGAUCGGCCACACUGGGACUGAGACACGGCCCAGACUCCUACGGGAGGCAGCAGUAGGGAAUCUUCCGCAAUGGACGAAAGUCUGACGGAGCAACGCCGCGUGAGUGAUGAAGGUUUUCGGAUCGUAAAGCUCUGUUGUUAGGGAAGAACAAGUGCCGUUCGAAUAGGGCGGCACCUUGACGGUACCUAACCAGAAAGCCACGGCUAACUACGUGCCAGCAGCCGCGGUAAUACGUAGGUGGCAAGCGUUGUCCGGAAUUAUUGGGCGUAAAGGGCUCGCAGGCGGUUUCUUAAGUCUGAUGUGAAAGCCCCCGGCUCAACCGGGGAGGGUCAUUGGAAACUGGGGAACUUGAGUGCAGAAGAGGAGAGUGGAAUUCCACGUGUAGCGGUGAAAUGCGUAGAGAUGUGGAGGAACACCAGUGGCGAAGGCGACUCUCUGGUCUGUAACUGACGCUGAGGAGCGAAAGCGUGGGGAGCGAACAGGAUUAGAUACCCUGGUAGUCCACGCCGUAAACGAUGAGUGCU